CGUUAACUAUCGCCUAAACAUGAGUCUGUCACAUCUAAACAGCGAGGAAAAUCGGAGAUACGAGGAGAAAAUUGCGUGUAUUGGGUGUGAUCCGUAUACAGUACCGGGAGAGUUUUUUUAAAUCAGUUUUGUCCACCAACACACUGCCUGACAUCCACUUCCACAAUAUUUACAUUUACCUCAUACAUCAUCGUACACCGGAGCAUGGCAUAAAGCUUAAGAGCACGGAGGCGUACAGGUAUUUUGUUGCGGGCUGGGUCCUUGACCCGAAAAUAUGUCUCUUCAAGAAGAAGCACUUUCUUGUCAAAGGAAGGGUGAACCACUCAAGCUGUCAACACAACCCCCACACAGCCAUGGAUCGUGGUCCAUGAGGAUGGGACCAUUCUUGCGGCCCACUGCACCUGCAAGGCGGGACUGGGUGAAGCUUGUUCACAUGCAGCUGCCCUCAUGUAUGCCCUCUUAGCUGCCGUUGAACAAAAAGACAAUGUGUCCUGCACGGACAUGCCCUGUGCCUGGGCCCCGCCAAGUAAGACCGGCAAGAUGGGGAAAUAAGAAUGAGCCCACAGCAAGGACACAGUACAUCACAGCGAUGCAAGGGCACACAGAUCUUCAAGUGCAGACAUCAGGCCUGAUCAUCAACACAUCUUGGCCAUGGAU